rnacentral:rRNA from 1 species
AUACGGAGGAUCCGAGCGUUAUCCGGAUUUAUUGGGUUUAAAGGGUGCGCAGGCGGGAGAUUAAGUCGGCGGUGAAAUUUUGCAGCUCAACUGGAAAAAUGCCUUCGAAACUGGUUUCCUUGAGUGUAGAUGAAGUAGGCGGAAUUUGUGGUGUAGCGGUGAAAUGCCUAGAUAUCACGAGGAACUCCGAUUGCGCAGGCAGCUUACUAAACUACUACUGACGCUCAGGCACGAAGGCGUGGGGAUCAAACAGGAUUAGAUACCCUGGUAGUCCACGCAGUAAACGAUGAUUACUAGCUGUUUGCGAUACAAUGUAAGCGGCUGAGCGAAAGCGUUAAGUAAUCCACCUGGGGAGUACGUUCGCAAGAAUGAAACUCAAAUGAAUUGGCGGG